UGAUGGUCCACAUCACAUCCCACACGAAGCGGACUCGAUCCGACGGCGCAGAGCCGCCGCCGCCGCCGCCGCCGAACCGGCGCGUCCGUUAAGGGCCAAGCCCUUAUAUGCGCAUCAGCGCGCGGUUGGUCUUGUACUGUCAAAAAAUUUACGUACGAGGUCAAUGGAGGACGCAGCGAUCGACGACAGCGUCCAGAGCGCCUCCGCCGUGACGGAGGUGGGCAGCAGCGUCACUGCGGCGGUGGAGGAAGAGUCGCGGCGGCCCGGCCGGGGCGCCGUCCGCGGCGAGGACGGGCGGCCGACGAUGGCGGACAAAGAGGCGGUGGACGACUACAACGGCCCAGUGGAAGCGGAGACGACGACGGUCGUCGGCCGAGACGUGGACGGCCCAUCCUCAACGAUAAGGCUCGCCGCGGCGAGGUCCGGGUACCUGCUGCUAGGGUUUCUCGCCGGCGCGGCCGCCGCAGCGCUCUUCCUGGUGCGCCACGACACGCCGAUGGCAACGUGCACGGUGCCGACCUGAAUGACUGACUGCAUGCUGUAUUCCUUAACUUCUUGAUUGCAGAGCAGUUGAUCGAACCUGAUGCUAUUUUACUAGUUGCUCUGAAUGCUCGGUGAUUACAUAGCGCGCACGUCA
rnacentral:misc_RNA from 1 species